ACAAGUACCGUGAGGGAAAGUUGCAAAGCACUUUGAAGAGAGAGUUAAAGAGGACGUGAAACCGGUGGGGUGGAAACGGAUAGAGCCGGCGUAUCUGACAUGUAUUCAACCGCUAAACUAUUGCGUUUCGGACUUUGAUCUCCAGAUUGGGCACUGUUCGAUUUGCUGGUAGUGGUGUGGUGCAUUUGCAUGUGGAGUGCGUAGAGGCGUCAGGGAUUGAGGUGUGAUCUCUGUUUUGAGGCCAGCUUGCUGGUACCCGAACUUUGGCAGCACCUUUAGUUCCGGACGUUUUAUUUGCAAGGCCUACGAGCUCUAUUGGGGCUCGAACUGGGGGUCGGUUACGGUCGCAUGCGACACGUGCCGUUCAAUCAGUUCGGUCCUGGUCGAGCUCACGUGCAGUCUCUCUGCGUAAAAGCCGGUCACCUAUCCGACCCGUCUUGAAACACGGACCAAGGAGUUUAUCGUGUGCGCGAGUCAUUGGGCUUUCAAAACUCAAAGACGAAGUGAAAGUGAAUGUCCUCGCAAGAGGCUGACGUGUGAUUCCUACUUUUCGAGGUGGGGAAGCAGCAUGGCCCCAUUCUGACUGCUUGCAGUGGGGUGGAGGAAGAGCGCAUGCGGUGAGACCCGAAAGAUGGUGAACUAUUCCUGAGCAGGAUGAAGCCAGAGGAAACUCUGGUGGAAGUCCGAAGCGGUUCUGACGUGCAAAUCGAUCGUCUGACUUGGGUAUAGGGGCGAAAGACUAAUCGAACCAUCUAGUAGCUGGUUCCUUCC
rnacentral:rRNA from 1 species